GAUCUUGUAGCUCAGUUGGUAGAGCAGCACACUCUUAAUGUGCGGGUCCUAAGUUCGAGCCUUAGCGGGAUCA
rnacentral:tRNA from 1 species